rnacentral:tRNA from 1 species
CUCGGUAUGGAAGGACUCUUGACUGACUCUGAGACUCAGUCUUCUGACUUGGAUUGGCAUACUGGGG